GCUGGGCAUGGUGGCUCACGCCUGUAAUCCCAACUACUUGGGAGGCUGAGGCAGAGGAAUUGUUUGAACCCAGGAGGCAGAGGUUGCAGUGAGCUGAGAUCAUGCCACUGAACUCCAGCUUGGGCAACAGAGCAAGACUCCGCCUCAA
rnacentral:SRP_RNA from 2 species